UACGGAGGAGGCAAGCGUUAUCCGGAAUUAUUGGGCGUAAAGCGUCCGCAGGUGGCGAUUCAAGUCUGCGGUCAAAGACUGGGGCUUAACCCCAGAAAGGCAGUGGAAACUGAAGUGCUAGAGUGCAGUAGGGGUAGAGGGAAUUCCCGGUGUAGCGGUGAAAUGCGUAGAGAUCGGGAAGAACAUCGGUGGCGAAAGCGCUCUGCUGGACUGCAACUGACACUCAGGGACGAAAGCUAGGGGAGCGAAUGGG
rnacentral:rRNA from 1 species